AUCUAGACGACGAGUCUGAAAUGGGACGAAACGCGAUUCCUGGAU
rfam:Schistosoma mansoni, Puerto Rico, WGS project CABG01000000 data, contig: 0032